rnacentral:pre_miRNA from 1 species
CUGGGGAAGGGGGGGUCCCUCAGCCUGGAUUGCAAGAGGGCACAGGCCAGGCCGAGGGACCCCACUAGUGCACA